UACAGAGACUGCAAGCGUUAUUCGGAUUCACUGGGCGUAAAGGGUGCGCAGGCGGCCAAGUGUGUGAGGCGUGAAAGCCCGGGGCUCAACCCCGGAAUUGCACCUCAAACUACUUGGCUAGAGCAUUGGAGAGGGUAGCAGAAUUCAUGGUGUAGCAGUGAAAUGCGUAGAUAUCAUGAGGAAUACCAGAGGCGAAGGCGGCUACCUGGACAAUUGCUGACGCUCAGGCACGAAAGCGUGGGGAGCAAAAGGG
rnacentral:rRNA from 1 species